GAAAGAGUAUUUGUCACCUGAAAAAUUUAACUGCAGUCGAAUGGAGAGGGAGCAAAAUGAAAUGCAACUUGUGUCUGUGAACUUUAUAAUGGAUACGUACAGCUUUUUGAUGCCCGGUGGUAACCAGCCUUCCAUGUGAAUGAACAGAUUCCAGUGUACCCGAAUUCUGAGACAGAAAUGAAUUUCCUUUUCUUCUGCUUUUAAGAUUCCCAAUUCGGGAUGAUGUGCAGUUCAUGUUAGAUUUGCUAUUUCUACAGCUACAGUGAGGUGGAAGAGUCCAGUCAUGUUAUGGGGCAGCAAUUAAAGAAGAAGGAAGCAAUGUGUGCCAUGUUGAAGUAGUGGGUGGCCCUCCUGCCCGGAACUUCUAUAAUCACCCAUCUAAAUCCCUGGUCUGGAUCUGCUGUGCCUUUGCCAAGUGAUCAGGAGGUAUUGGCCUGU